rnacentral:rRNA from 1 species
ACACUGACGACAUGUUCUACACGCCUGUUUAUCAAAAACAUGUCUUUUUGUUAAUAAUUUAAAGUCUAAUCUGCCCACUGAUAAUUUAUUAAAGGGCUGCAGUAUUUUGACUGUACAAAGGUAGCAUAAUCAUUAGUCUCUUAAUUGGUGACUUGUAUGAAAGAUUGAAUGAAAUAUAAUCUGUCUCUAAUUAAUAUAUAGUAAUUUUAAUUUUUUAGUACAAAAAGACUAAAAUAGUAAUUAAAAGACGAGAAGACCUAUAGUAGUUUUAUUAUUUUAUUUAAUUAUUAUUAUAUGUAAUUUAUAUUAAGAUAAAUAAAUAUUUGUUGGGGUGAUAAAAAAUUAAAWUAACUUUUUUAAUUAAUUAAACAAUUGAUAUAUGUAGUUUGUGAUCCUAUUUUUAGUAGUAAUUAAAAGAAAAAAUUACCUUAAGGGAUAACAGYGAAUUUUUUUUUUAGUUUCAAAUAGGAAAAAAAAAGUUAGGACCUCGAUGUUGGAUUAAGAUAAAAUUUAAAUGCAAAAGUUUAAAAUUUUGAUCUGUUCGAUCAUUAAAAUCUUACAUGAUCUGAGUUCAAACCGGAGAGACCAAGUCUCUGCUACCG